UCUUGUAGCCCAAGACUGGUUGCCCACUGAAGAUAAGCAGGGCUGAGCCUGGUCAGUACCUGGAUGGGAGACCUCCUGGGAAAACUAGGUUGCUGCUGGAA
rnacentral:rRNA from 1 species